rnacentral:lncRNA from 1 species
GUGUGAUUGCUCAGGCCUGUUGUUAAGUUGACGCGGCGCAGUUGCUGUGUUUUCGGGAGCACUGCGCAUGCGCGGCGCUGUGCUGAUGGCGCUGGGUGCAGUAAGCAGGAGGUGAUGUGAGGAGGAGAAUCAGCGGGUAAAGGGUUAAUAAUGUCCGCGGAGAAGAGUCUGGAUGGAGAGAACCGGAGGAGAGAACGAACAAAAAGAGAAGAGAUGCACAGAAAACUGCGAAGUGGAGAGUCUCUGGACCGCCGACACCGAGAACCAGAGAGAGACGAGAGGAGAGAGAAACCGAAAGAGAGAGACAGAGAGGAGGAAAGAAGGAGGAGGGACGAGCGAGAGAGGAGAAAAGAAAGAGAAAGGGAUGGAGAGAGACGAGGCUCUGAGAGGAGAGGGGAAGGAGACGAGAGAGAGAACAGAGACAGAGAGAAAGAAAGACAGAGAGAGAGAUAUAAAGACAGAGAUCGAGAGAGAGAGGGAGAACCGGGUAGGGAGAAAGAGAGAGAAAAACACAGAGAUAGAGAAAGAGACAGAGACAAAGAAAGAUCUAGAGAUAUAGACAGAGAUAGAGAAAGGAGCGAGAGACAUAAAGAUCGAGAAAAGAAAGAAAGAGAGAAAGAUAAAGAAAGGAAUAGAGACAGGGACAGAGAUAAGGAGAAAGACAGAUAUAAAGAUAGAGAGAGGGAUGAGAGAUAUAGAGAUAGAGAAAGAGAAAAAGACAGAGAGAAGGAGAAAGAUAGAGGGAGGAGGAGGGCCGAAAAGGAGAGACAAAGAGAAGUGGGGGAAGAAAAGUACAGAGAGAAAGAUAAAGAGCGAGAGAGAGAAAAGAGAGAGCGUCACAGCGAGUACUCCGGACACACAGACAGAGGUAAGACCUAAAAAAAAAUAGUGGUGGAUAAGUUUCUAAAUUAUUAUCACAAUAUUUUAGGGUAUUU